rnacentral:rRNA from 1 species
GACAGAGGGUGCAAACGUUGUUCGGAAUUACUGGGCGUAAAGCGUGUGUAGGCGGUUUGCUAAGUCGGAUGUGAAAGCCCCGGGCUCAACCCGGGAAGUGCACUCGAAACUGGCAGGCUAGAGUAUCGGAGAGGUUGGUGGAAUUCUCGGUGUAGAGGUGAAAUUCGUAGAUAUCGAGAGGAACACCGGUGGCGAAGGCGGAUCUCUGGGCCAUUACUGACGCUGAGGAGCGAAAGCGUGGGGAGCGAACAGG